GCGGAGGUGUAGUGAUGUCGCGA
rnacentral:siRNA from 1 species